rnacentral:rRNA from 1 species
CCUACGGGAGGCUGCAGUGAGGAAUAUUGGUCAAUGGCCGGAAGGCUGAACCAGCCAUGCCGCGUGAAGGUCAGUGCCCUAUGGGCGUUAAACUUCUUUUGUGCGGGAGCAAUAAUGGUCACGUGUGGCCAGACGAGAGUACCGUACGAAUAAGCAUCGGCUAACUCCGUGCCAGCAGCCGCGGUAAUACGGGGGAUGCAAGCGUUAUCCGGAUUUAUUGGGUUUAAAGGGUGCGUAGGCUGUUAGGUAAGUGCGCGGUGAAAUGCCCCCGCUCAACGGGGUGAAGUGCCAUUGAUACUGCCUUGCUGGAAUGCGGAUGCCGUGGGAGGAAUGUGUGGUGUAGCGGUGAAAGGCAUAGAUAUCACACAGAACACCGAUUGCGAAGGCAUCUCACGAAUCCGCGAUUGACGCUGAUGCACGAAAGCGUGGGUAUCAAACAGGAUUAGAUACCCGAGUAGUC